rnacentral:rRNA from 1 species
GCGUGGGUAGCGAAUGGGAUUAGAUACCCCAGUAGUCCACGCCCUAAACGAUCUUCACUAGCUUUUCGGAGUAUCGACCCUCUGAGAGGCGAAGCUAACGCGUUAAGUGAAGCGCCUGGGAAGUACGAUCGCAAGAUUAAAACUCAAAGGAAUAGACGGGGACUCGCACAAGCGGUGGAUUAUGUGGUUUAAUUCGUAGGUAAACGAAGAACCUUACCCAGAUUUGAAGCUCAGAUGAAAUCCUAAGAAACUAGGCCCUCGCAAGACAUCUGAGCAGGUGAUGCAUGGCCGUCGUCAGCUCGUGGUUUGAACUGUUCCCUUAAGUGGGCUAACGAGCGCAACCCUCGUCGUCUGUUACAAGUGUCAGGCGAGACCGCCCAGCCCAAAGAUCGCAAUGGGGUCUUCUGUGGAAUGAAAAAGUAUUUAUAUUUUUUCAUUCCACAGAGGAUCUUGUUGAUUGUGAUUUUCGGGCUGGGAGGAAGGAGAGGAUGACGCCAGGUCAGCAUGUCCCUUUGAUAUCUGGGGCCACACACAUAAUACAAUGGUUAUUACAAUGGGAUGCAAUGGAGCGAUCCGGAGCCAACCCUCAAAGAUAGCCCUAGUUCGGAUAGAAGUCUGCAACUCGACUUCUUGAAGCUGGAAUCGCUAGUAAUCGCAGGUCAGCCAAACUGCGGUGAAUACGUUCUCGAGUCUUGUACUCACCGCCCGUCAAUUCAAGGGAGCCGGUAGUACCCGAAGGCUCUCCAUAAGGAGGGACUACGGUAAGAUCGGUGACAGGGAAUAAGUCGUAACAAGGCACGGCUAGCGGAAGCUGGUCGUGGAUUAACUCAAAU